UACGGGGGGGGUAAGCGUUGUUCGGAAUUACUGGGCGUAAAGGGCUCGUAGGCGGCCAACUAAGUCAUACGUGAAAUCCCUCAGCUUAACUGGGGAACUGCGUGUGAUACUGGAUGGCUUGGAUUUGGGAGAGGGAUGCGGAAUUCCAGGUGUAGCGGUGAAAUGCGUAGAUAUCUGGAGGAACACCAAUAGCGAAGGCAGCUCGCUGGGACGUUACUGACACUGAGGCGCGAAAGCGUGGGGAGCGAACAGG
rnacentral:rRNA from 1 species